UUUUUUUUUUUUCUUUUUAGGGUCACACCUGCAGCAUAUGGAAGUUCCCAGGCUAGGGGUUGAAUUGGAGCAACAGCUUCCAGCCUGCACCACAGCCACAGCAACAACGCCAGAUUCAAGCUGCAUCUGCAACCUGGUAUCUAUUUUUAUCCAAAGCUAAGAGCAAGACCUGAACAGACAACAUUUAUUUUAACUUUAGCAGUUCUUGCUAGAGAGAUGGUUUUUUUCCAGUCUAAUAUCUUCUUAAUUUCUCAAGAAAUUUUGCAUGUCUAAAGGCACUCACUAGGGAAGGCCUGUAGGCUGUUUCCAAGAGUCCUCACAGAAUAACACUCAUCUUGGCAAUUCAUCAGGAAUUGGAGUUUGGGUUUCAGAUUACAAACCUAAAAUCUUGAUAGCAUAUUAAAAAUGGACUCUGCUUGGAGAGCCUGCUGACAAUAAUACAAACUCACAUGUGUAAUCAAAUCCUUGUUAUUUUAUAAUGAGAAGAAUAAUCUUGCAAAUCAAAAUUCUUACACAUAUUUAAUGCAUUAAAUUCAGAGUUGUUAGGGAAAACCAUUUGUAAUCAAGAAUUUGGAAUGAGCAUGGAAUCAAAGCAAAGGGAGUUGUGUCUGAAAAAUAUAAUUAGAAAAAAAUCUCCUCUCAACUCAGAAGAACUCACCAUGAAGGUGGAAGAGAAAGAAGACAAUUUGAUUAUUGAAUAAGCAUUAAUCAGCAAUGUGUUGCACAUCACAGGCAAUCUGCUAAAGAGAUUGCAAAUACAAAAAGAAAUCUCACCCUUUCGUAUAGCCAAGCAGGUAUAAUUCCUUACACACCUGUUCUCAGGAUGAACAAUAGCUAGUUCUUUUUUUCACUUGUUAAAAUUUUAUUGAAGUAUAGUUAAUUUACAAUGCUGUGAUCAUUUCUGCUGUACAACAAAGUGAUUCAGUUAUACAUGUACACAUGUCCAUUCUCUUUCAGAUUUUUUCUUAAGUAAGAGAAUUUGGCACCAUUGGUUACACAUAGUUCAUCCUCAAUUCACUUGGUAAUUGGGGUGACCAUCUGUGUUAGCUAAUUGACUUUACCCAAAAGAAAAAUAAAUGUCUUAUGUCUUUAGGACAGGAGGUACUUAUGCAACUUGGAGUGUGACUCCCAUUGAUGUUAGGCUAUGCCUCUUCCGCAGAAACCAGGAGAUAGGAAUGCUAUCUUUCGUGAUUAUUACUUUUCAAAGACAUGGGCCCCCAGGUCCUUGAGAAAGAUAUUCCUGGGUCUUUAAGCUGGCAAAGGCUAAUUUAACUUUUAAAAAGACUUAGGUGAGGGGAGAGAUGGGGGGAAGUGGCCAGGAUAGUGGAGUGAGAAGACCCUGGUCUCUCCUCCUCCCACAGGUACACCAAAAUUGCAGCUAUUUACAGAGCAACUAUCCAUGGUAACAAUGUGAAAACUAGCAGAAAAGACCUUCUACAACUGAAGAUAUAAGGAAGGAACCACAAUGAGAUGAAGGAGGAGGGGUGAAGACGCAGCAUAGACAAGACCCAUACCACCAGGUAGGAGACCUAUAAACAGAAGGAUAAUUACAAUUGUAGAGGUUCUCCCUUGGAGUGAGGGGUCCAAGCCCCACAAUGGGCUCCCCAGCCCAGGGGGUCCUAUACCAAGAAGAUGAGCAAAGCCAGUGGAACUUACUUUCAGGGGAGUAAGAAGACGGUGGCAAAUGGAGACUCUACUCCUAAAGGCCCACACAAAAUCUCACACACUCUGAGACCUAUGACAGAAGCAGUCGUUUGAAAGGAGCAUGGUCAGACUUACCUGCUGAUCUUGAGAGCCUCCUGGAGAGGCAGGAGGCAACUAAAACUCACUCUGGGGAUGUAGACUCUGGCAGCAUCUAUUUUGGAGAGCUCAUCCCACCACA
rnacentral:lncRNA from 1 species